rnacentral:rRNA from 1 species
CACGUAGGCGGCUUUCUAAGUCAGGGGUGAAAUCCUGGAGCUCAACUCCAGAACUGCCUUUGAUACUGGAAAGCUCGAGUCCGGGAGAGGUGAGUGGAACUGCGAGUGUAGAGGUGAAAUUCGUAGAUAUUCGCAAGAACACCAGUGGCGAAGGCGGCUCACUGGCCCGGUACUGACGCUGAGGUGCGAAAGCGUGGGAGCAAACA